rnacentral:rRNA from 1 species
UACAGAGGGGGCAAGCGUUGUUCGGAAUUACUGGGCGUAAAGGGCGCGUAGGCGGCCGACUAAGUCAGACGUGAAAUCCCCAGGCUUAACCUGGGAACUGCGUCUGAUACUGGAUGGCUCGAGUUCGGGAGAGGGAAGUGGAAUUCCAGGUGUAGCGGUGAAAUGCGUAGAUAUCUGGAGGAACACCGGUGGCGAAGGCGGCUUCCUGGACCGACACUGACGCUGAGGCGCGAAAGCGUGGGGAGCAAACAGG